GAGCAGGGGAAGGGCGCUGAGGGGAGCCCGGCUGGAGUCGGGCUGUGGCUGAGGGGGGCACCGGGGGGGUCUCCGAGGGAUGAUUGCCCUCAAAAAGGCUCGAAUGGGGUCCGGAGAGGGCUCUGCUUUUCCCAAAGGCCCCGAGCGCAUCUCCCUGCCUACCCGGCGCUACCUCACUCUGAGGCCCGAAGUAUUUUCGCCUUCUUUUUUAUCAGUAUGGUGAGAAAUGAGACCAAAAUGUGAGAUUUGUUAUCAGAAGCGCAGCUUGUGUCCCCGGGAAAAGGAACCGCAGAUCAGAGACGGGAGGCUCUUGGGAACGGGCAGAAUACACAACAGCACAGAAGCAGCUCAGCAAAAAACAGGUAAUGCUAUGGCUUUUUUAAAAAAAUCGCACCUUUCAGCACAGCCUUAUUCCACCCCACACACUCCCCUUGUGAGAAUGCACCAUCCUGGUUCCCGUAGUCGAGACACAUGUGCAGGGUUCACAACACAGCUCAGCGGCACGUGAUGACAAGCUGAAGUGCAGGAGGGUAUUUACACUGCAUGCUCUGGGUGUUUUAGCAGGACAUGAACUGGCUACUCCCUCUGAGAGAGAAAGGCUUUGCCCCCUCAGGCACAUCAGUAAUUUUUAAAGAGAUUUUUCUUCCGCAUGGCACCACCAGCUUUGUUACUUUUCUAAACCAGCUGCAAGAUGUCACAUCACCCUUGCUCAACUUGGCCCCAUUCUUGCAUUUCAAGACAGGGAAGAAAAACCCACAGCCUCUGCUUACAUUAUUGGGGACUACAAGUCUAAUAACGUUAACACAGUAACGUGUCAUUUUAGAAGAGUAGAACUGCUCGGCGUUGUAUAGGCUUGCUCAUGUAACGGACUACCACAGAUUUUCUCUGAGUAAAGGUGUUUCUCAGCCUCCUGAAUGCAAACAUAGAACUUGUAUUUACAGAUAUGAUAGGAUGCUAAGUUUUAAGCGAGCUGAGACCUGCUGUAUGCAGAAUAUCAUGGCCAGCCAUUGCCUUCCUUGUCACUACAUAUUGUAAUGAGCAGAAGCUGCCCGUGGGGCUCAAAUGCUCAAGUAUGAGGUGUCUGGCAAGCAGAGCUAACCACGGAACCAAAGGGUGUUCCUGGACUCCUGGAGCUCCAGCCCUUCAGGCACAUUUCCUGUCAGUGCACCUGGUGAGCAGGCCUGAUCCUGCUAAGCUUCAGUUCUUGCCUGCUUACUCGUAAAACGCAACUCCUACCCCGCAUUCCAAAAUCCACUAGAGCACAGGACUUCUAGAGAGACAUUUUAUUGGUUCACUUACAUUCAACCCAACAAUCAACAAAACAGUUGACCCCAUUAGUUCAUUCCACUUUAUUCUUAAUUUUUCCAUGUUGUGCUAAAUUAAUUUGCAGUUUAAGUUGUAUCACACAUAGAGGCUAUGGCAGAAAUCAAGCCACAAGGACAACAGUGUGAAUAUACGAACUAA